UCCCCGUUGUUCUGGGAGAGGUAUACAUAGAGAGGACAGACUCCAGGGGUUAGACAACUGAAAGGCUGCAGCAUGGCAAAAAUGGUGAAGAAAUCAUGGAAGCCACAAACCAUAAGCACCAAGCAGCGGAAGAAGAGGAAGACUACCUCUCAACCCAGAUCAAGAGGCAUUAACAAGGUGCUAAAGAUAUACAAGAAGACAAAAAGAUCACCUCACAUGAGUUCAAGAAAAAAAUACUCUCCUAAAUUUAUAACUACUUCAAGAAGAAAGAAGAGAGCAAGGAGGAGCAAUUAGUUUCACCUGUAGACUGAGCCAAAAGCAGCCAGGCCAGACCCAACAGACUCUAUAGAGCUGUCACCACUCCAAGACAAGACCUGUGAAAACACUACCUACAGAGCAAGCUUCAGAGACCUCAGGCAAUCUUCAUCUAGAGCCCUGGCUGCGGAGAAAAGGCCAACUGCAUAGAGACUGCCACAGAUGCUAAUGUGAAACAUGGAACUCACAUGGAGGUGAUUAAAAUAAAAUCAACAGGGUGUAAGAAGCCCCUUCAAAAAAUAAAAUCAGACACUCUGCAUAGAAGUGAA